rnacentral:lncRNA from 1 species
UUUGCAUUAGAGAUGGACUGUUCACAUAUGCACAUUUCGGAACUUUAUGUCGUAUAUUUCUCGUGUUAAGCGAUGCCUAGUUUCUUCAUUAAAUGUGUCUGAAUUUCCAAGUAUCUCAGAGUCAGAACAUGGCUUGACAUAUGGAAGUUAUGUUCAGUAAAUUGGUCCAGGUGUGCACAGCUGUUAUCACUUUCCCAGGAUAAAAGAGAGCCAGUGUGAUGACCACAGCAUCAGUCGCACCUUCAAUGGCUCCAUUGUUCUGAAGACUAAACUAUUGGGAUUUCAGGAUAAUUUUUUUAUGCUUUAUUAUAAUUAUUAUUUCUAUUUUGUAUUUUUUUUAAUUAGAGGGGGCCAGUUGGUCAAAGAGGGCCACCUGGACCUCCAGGGCCUGCUGGCUUUCCUGGCGUUGAUGGCAUUGACGGUGACAGGGGACCUGGCCCUGGCCCAGAUGGCCCCCCAGGCCUUGACGGAGACAAUGGCAAGGAUGGAUUAAAUGGCGUUCCAGGAAAACCAGGAGCGGAUGGUUUGACUGGGCCCCGUGGUGAACCUGGCCCUGUUGGCCCUCCUGGACAAAAAGUAAGUUUAAACUUCCACAUAACAAUAAGUGAAAAAAAACACAUUAACAUUGUGUUUUUAAAUUAUUAAGUCUUUAUUGUGAAUGGCUGUA